AAUUUCUUAUUAUAAAUAGUAUAUUAAUCUUCCAAAUUAAAGGUUUAAGAGAUUA
rnacentral:tRNA from 1 species